rnacentral:rRNA from 1 species
GAUGAACGCUGGCGGCGUGCCUAAUACAUGCAAGUCGAGCGAACAGACGAGGAACUUGCUCCUCUGACGUUAGCGGCGGACGGGUGAGUAACACGUGGAUAACCUACCUAUAAGACUGGGAUAACUUCGGGAAACCGGAGCUAAUACCGGAUAACAUGUUGAACCGCAUGGUUCAACAGUGAAAGACGGUUUUGCUGUCACUUAUAGAUGGAUCCGCGUCGCAUUAGCUAGUUGGUAAGGUAACGGCUUACCAAGGCAACGAUGCGUAGCCGACCUGAGAGGGUGAUCGGCCACACUGGAACUGAGACACGGUCCAGACUCCUACGGGAGGCAGCAGUAGGGAAUCUUCCGCAAAGGGCGAAAGCCUGACGGAGCAACGCCGCGUGAGUGAAGAAGGUCUUCGGAUCGUAAAACUCUGUUAUUAGGGAAGAACAAAUGUGUAAGUAACUAUGCACGUCUUGACGGUACCUAAUCAGAAAGCCACGGCUAACUACGUG